GGAGGGGUGGCCGAGUGGUUUAAGGCACUCGUCUUGAAAACGAGCGUAGGUGAUGAGCCUACCGUGGGUUCGAAUCCGACCCCCUCCG
rnacentral:tRNA from 1 species